rnacentral:rRNA from 1 species
UAUUACCGCGGCUGCUGGCACGGGGGGCCUACGGGAGGCAGCAGUGGGGAAUAUUGCACAAUGGGCGCAAGCCUGAUGCAGCCAUGCCGCGUGUAUGAAGAAGGCCUUCGGGUUGCAAAGUACUUUCAGCGGGGAGGAAGGCGGUGAGGUUAAUAGCCUCACCGAUUGACGUUACCCGCAGAAGAAGCACCGGCUAACUCCGUGCCAGCAGCCGCGGUAAUAGGGGAAACCCUGACCGAGCAACGCCGCGUGAAGGAAGAAGGUCUUCGGAUUGUAAACUUCUGUUAUAAAGGAAGAACGAGAUAUGCAGGAAAUGGUAUAUCAGUGACGGUACUUUAUGAGGAAGCCACGGCUAACUACGUGCCAGCAGCCGCGGUAAU